UCCUACGGGAGGCAGCAGUGGGGAAUCUUGGACAAUGGGCGCAAGCCUGAUCCAGCCAUGCCGCGUGAGUGAUGAAGGCCCUAGGGUCGUAAAGCUCUUUCGCCUGUGAUGAUAAUGACAGUAGCAGGUAAAGAAACCCCGGCUAACUCCGUGCCAGCAGCCGCGGUAAUACGGAGGGGGUUAGCGUUGUUCGGAAUUACUGGGCGUAAAGCGCGCGUAGGCGGACUAUUAAGUCAGAGGUGAAAUCCCGGGGCUCAACCCCGGAACUGCCUUUGAUACUGGUAGUCUAGAGUUCGAGAGAGGUGAGUGGAAUUCCGAGUGUAGAGGUGAAAUUCGUAGAUAUUCGGAGGAACACCAGUGGCGAAGGCGGCUCACUGGCUCGAUACUGACGCUGAGGUGCGAAAGUGUGGGGAGCAAACAGGAUUAGAUACCCUGGUAGUCCACACCGUAAACGAUGAAUGCCAGUCGUCGGAUAGCAUGCUAUUCGGUGACACACCUAACGGAUUAAGCAUUCCGC
rnacentral:rRNA from 1 species